rnacentral:lncRNA from 1 species
GCAGAUUGGUCAGUCAGGGAGUCUUUUUGGGAGGGGGACAUGGAGAUAGUUUGCUAGGCUGAAAUGGGGAAUUUUUUUUGGAUUUAAAUUGGAUAUAAAACAAAAUAAAAUAGGGGAAGAUUUUGGGUGGUUGAUUUUUCAUAUUUGAUUAUAUAAUUCUGUGACCAGGAUAUAAAACAAAUAAUGUUUGUUGGCUAUCUUUCUCGUCUAUCUCUCGGGCAAAACAAAGUCUUCUUAAGACAUACAUAAACUCAUUCUACACACCUUUUUUUUUUCGUUUUUUUUAAGAUUAGGUCUUUCUAGUCCAUCUAUGAGAGUGAGAGUCUCACAUAGAACUUAGAGCCUUAAAUAAUAUAUAAUGUCUUCGGGGGCUUUGUUGUUAAUCAUUUGUUGUGUUCGAGUGGAGAAGCCUGUGAGAACACAGUUCAUU